AUGAGCUUCUGACUUAAGAGAAAGUGACUUAGAACAGUCUACAAUGUAAAGAUUAAGUAAGAAAUGUGUGUCAUUGUAUUGUAAUUUUGUUUAGCUAAAUAGUAUGCUUAUCCAUACUUAUUCAAUAAUUCAAAUAUUGUUUUACUAACCAUUUUAACAUACCUUUGUCCUACGCCACCAUGAAUGAGCCUCUGUCUUGACUGAGAAAGUAAUAUGUUAUUUUGUAAAAAUGGUUCUCAGUGAUUUAAUAAAUAAACCAUUAUUUGUCUUACUCACCAUCAUGUAUCUUUUUCUUCUCUUCCUCCACCUCCUGAGCUGCUGCCGUUCACUGCAUGUGGACAGCGAGGUGAUCGGCUUCUGACUUAUAUAAAGAUAAAUAAAGUAAUGUCCUAUAGAGCUCAACAGUGACCGCCCACUUCUGCUUAAAUAAAGAGAGCAUAGAGUAUAAGGAUACAUAAAGUAAUGUGUUGAUUGCUGCACCGGACAGAAGAAUGGCAAUCGUUUAUGACAAGAUUUCAAUAUUUACAGACAUUUACUGGCCUUUCUCAGUCUGCAGGAUUAUGUGCACUGCGCCAACGUCCAGACAGGCAGCGACUCAGUGUUCCUGCAGUACAUCCAGGGUUACCUUGACAAGAGAGCUGGAGAGAAGUGGUCAUCUGUGUUUUAGUCGACUAAGGAUGUAUCUUAAGCAAUAGAAAGAGUUAUAUCAGCUGAUGUAAGGCAGCAC